AAAAAAGCUCGAGGCUCGUGAGCUGCUCGGGAUCGACUCGUAUUUUCGCUCGACUCGAGAUCGAUUCGAAACUAAAUGAGCUGAGUAUGAGCUCAUUAUGUAGCCCGGUUGAAAAACGAGUCAAGUCUGAGCCAAAGCUAGCUCGCUCGAAUUUGACUCACAUAACUCGAAUUAACACAAUAAGUAUGUUAAUUUGGUAGUAAAGUGAAAA
rnacentral:lncRNA from 1 species